rnacentral:rRNA from 1 species
UACGGAGGGUCCAAGCGUUAUCCGGAAUCAUUGGGUUUAAAGGGUCCGUAGGCGGUUUUGUAAGUCAGUGGUGAAAGCCCAUCGCUCAACGGUGGAACGGCCAUUGAUACUGCAAGACUGAAUUAUUGGGAAGCAACUAGAAUAUGUAGUGUAGCGGUGAAAUGCUUAGAGAUUACAUGGAAUACCAAUUGCGAAGGCAGGU